rnacentral:rRNA from 1 species
AUUGAACGCUGGCGGCAUGCUUUACACAUGCAAGUCGAACGGUAACAGGCCUUUGGGUGCUGACGAGUGGCGAACGGGUGCGUAAUGCAUCGGAACGUACCCAGAGGUGGGGGAUAACGCAGCGCAAGCUGUGCUAAUACCGCAUGUGAUCUGAGGAUGAAAGCGGGGGACCGCGCAGCAAUGUUUGGCCUCGCGCCUUUGGAGCGGCCGAUGUCGGAUUAGCUAGUUGGUUGGGUAAAGGCCUACCAAGGCGACGAUCCGUAGCUGGUCUGAGAGGACGACCAGCCACACUGGGACUGAGACACGGCCCAGACUCCUACGGGAGGCAGCAGUGGGGAAUUUUGGACAAUGGGCGCAAGCCUGAUCCAGCAAUGCCGCGUGCGGGAAGAAGGCCUUCGGGUUGUAAACCGCUUUUGGCAGGAACGAAACGGUGUCCGCUAAUACCGGGCGAUAAUGACGGUACCUGCAGAAUAAGCACCGGCUAACUACGUG